UGGGGAAUAUUGCACAAUGGGCGCAAGCCUGAUGCAGCCAUGCCGCGUGUGUGAAGAAGGCCUUCGGGUUGUAAAGCACUUUCAGCGGGGAGGAAGGCGUUAAGGUUAAUAACCUUGGCGAUUGACGUUACCCGCAGAAGAAGCACCGGCUAACUCCGUGCCAGCAGCCGCGGUAAUACGGAGGGUGCAAGCGUUAAUCGGAAUUACUGGGCGUAAAGCGCACGCAGGCGGUCUGUCAAGUCGGAUGUGAAAUCCCCGGGCUCAACCUGGGAACUGCAUUCGAAACUGGCAGGCUAAAGUCUUGUAGAGGGGGGUAGAAUUCCAGGUGUAGCGGUGAAAUGCGUAGAGCACUGGAGGAAUACCGGUGGCGAAGGCGGCCCCCUGGACAAAGACUGACGCUCAGGUGCGAAAGCGUGGGGAGCAAACAGG
rnacentral:rRNA from 1 species